rnacentral:lncRNA from 1 species
UGUGUGAUUGGAAGCCGACGUAAGUCCAUCGAGUGGCAAUCGGGUUCCAGUGUCAGUGUGGGUGUUUUGGUUCGGAUGCUGAUGUAAGCCCAAUGAUUAGCAUUCAGGCUCCAUGUUUGCCUUCUUGUGUGUGUUUUGGUUCGGAUGCUGAUGUAAGUCCAGUGAUUGGCAUUCAGGCUCCAUGUUUGCCUUUGCCUGUGUUUGUUUGUGUGUGUGUUAGCCGAGCUACGAAUGCUCUGAUUCUCCUUCGUCCAAAGGAGAUACGUAUGCAUAGGAUGCGAUAUCCUAGCGAGCAUGU